rnacentral:rRNA from 1 species
CUUGGCGACCAUAGCGUUUUGGACCCACCUGACUCCAUUCCGAACUCAGAAGUGAAACGAAA